rnacentral:rRNA from 1 species
GACGAACGCUGGCGGCGUGCUUAACACAUGCAAGUCGAACGGAAAGGCCCUGCUUUUGUGGGGUGCUCGAGUGGCGAACGGGUGAGUAACACGUGAGUAACCUGCCCUUGACUUUGGGAUAACUUCAGGAAACUGGGGCUAAUACCGGAUAGGUGCUCCUGCUGCAUGGUGGUGGUUGGAAAGUUUCGGCGGUUGGGGAUGGACUCGCGGCUUAUCAGCUUGUUGGUGGGGUAGUGGCUUACCAAGGCUUUGACGGGUAGCCGACCUGAGAGGGUGACCGGCCACAUUGGGACUGAGAUACGGCCCAGACUGCUACGGGAGGCAGCAGUGGGGAAUAUUGCACAAUGGGCGGAAGCCUGAUGCAGCAACGCCGCGUGCGGGAUGACGGCCUUCGGGUUGUAAACCGCUUUCGCCUGUGACGAAGCGUGAGUGACGGUAAUGGGUAAAGAAGCACCGGCUAACUACGUG